rnacentral:rRNA from 1 species
AUUGUACGCUGGCGGCAUGCUUUACACAUGCAAGUCGAACGGCAGCGCGGGCUUCGGCCUGGCGGCGAGUGGCGAACGGGUGAGUAAUACAUCGGAACGUGCCCAGUAGUGGGGGAUAGCUCGGCGAAAGCCGGAUUAAUACCGCAUACGACCUGAGGGUGAAAGCGGGGGAUCUUCGGACCUCGCGCUAUUGGAGCGGCCGAUGGCAGAUUAGCUAGUUGGUGGGGUAAAGGCCUACCAAGGCGACGAUCUGUAGCUGGUCUGAGAGGACGACCAGCCACCCUGUGACUGAGCCACGGCCCCGACUCCUACGGGAGGCAGCAGUGGGGAAUUUUGGACAAUGGGCGAAAGCCUGAUCCAGCAAUGCCGCGUGUGUGAUGAAGGCCUUCGGGUUGUAAAGCACUUUUGGCGGGAACGAAAAGGACUGUGCCAAUACCACGGUUCGAUGACGGUACCCGCAGAAUAAGCACCGGCUAACUACGUG